GCAAUAAUGGUGAACCGGAUAUCAUGUGAUAGCGACUCAGAUAAGUCAUUGAUGCAGCAAAUCACGUCAGACACUGUAAUUGAGGUAAGCAUUGAUCUUCCUUUUGCAUUCCAAGCAAUACCAAAAGCAAGCAAUGGAAUCAGCUGGGACUCAAGUCCUUGAUCAAAUACUCAAGAUUAUGCUUCCCCGUUUUAUGUCACAGCUUGUGAAAGAUUAUGAAGCCUGGGCCUCUGGAGAUACGUCAAGGCAGCCUCUUGGGACUGGUGAAAUCUGAAAUUAAGGGUUAAAGCGGUUGCAACUGAAGCUGGCCUUAAUUUGUAUUGUUAAUAGGCUUUAGAAACACUAAUGAUAGUAUACUAUGUGCAAUUAGUGAAUGUUCUUGGUUUGUUAUGUAAGUAUACGUAGUUUCUCUGAAUUAUAUCAGGAAAAAAUGGAGAUUUGGGGUCUGGGGGUAGUAAAAUCAAGAAAACUAUUUUAGUCUGGUAUUCCAAGAAAGCUAUAUCACAUGAAACAUCAUAUAUGUCACUUAUCUAUUUUAUUCUUA